AAUGGAUUAGUGGCGAACGGGUGAGUAACACGUGGGUAACCUGCCCAUAAGAGGGGGAUAACAUUCGGAAACGGAUGCUAAUACCGCAUAGGUCUUUGAGACGCCUGUCUCUUAGAUGAAAGGUGGCUUCGGCUGCCGCUUAUGGAUGGACCCGCGGCGUAUUAGCUAGUUGGUGAGGUAAUGGCUCACCAAGGCUGUGAUACGUAGCCGACCUGAGAGGGUGAUCGGCCACACUGGGACUGAGACACGGCCCAGACUCCUACGGGAGGCAGCAGUAGGGAAUCUUCCACAAUGGGUGAAAACCUGAUGGAGCAAUACCGCGUGAGUGAAGAAGGUCUUCGGAUCGUAAAGCUCUGUUGUUAGAGAAGAACAAGUCGGGUAGUAACUGCCCCGGCCUUGACGGUAUCUAACCAGAAAGUCACGGCUAACUACGUGCCAGCAG
rnacentral:rRNA from 1 species